rnacentral:rRNA from 1 species
GAUGAACGCUGGCGGCGUGCCUAAUACAUGCAAGUCGAGCGAAUGGAUUAAGAGCUUGCUCUUAUGAAGUUAGCGGCGGACGGGUGAGUAACACGUGGGUAACCUGCCCAUAAGACUGGGAUAACUCCGGGAAACCGGGGCGAAUACCGGAUAACAUUGUGAACCGCAUGGCUCGAAAUGGAAAGGCGGAUUCGGCUGUCACUUAUGGAUGGACCCGCGUCGCAUUAGCUAGUUGGUGAGGUACCGGCUCACAAAGGCAACGAUGCGUAGCCGGCAUGAGUGGGUGAUCGGCCACACUGGGACUGAGACACGGCCCAGACUCCUACGGGAGGCAGCAGUAGGGAAUCUUCCGCAAUGGACGAAAGUCUGACGGAGCAACGCCGCGUGAGUGAUGAAGGCUUUCGGGUCGUAAAACUCUGUUGUUAGGGAAGAACAAGUGCUAGUUGAAUAAGCUGGCACCUUGACGGUACCUAACCAGAAAGCCACGGCUAACUACGUGCCAGCAGCCGCCGUAA